rnacentral:tRNA from 1 species
AUUCUCUUAGUAUAAGUAACAGUACAGCUGACUUCCAAUCAGCUAGCCCAGGUAAAACCCCAGGAGAGAGUA